AAUCAACGCUGGCGGCGUGCCUAACACAUGCAAGUCGAGCGAAUUGACAGAGGUGCUUGCACCUCUCGAUUUUAGCGGCGGACGGGUGAGUAACACGUGGGUAACCUACCUAUAAGACUGGGAUAACUUCGGGAAACCGGAGCUAAUACCGGAUAAUAUUUAGCUUCGCAUGAAGCAAUAGUGAAAGACGGUUCUGCUGUCACUUAUAGAUGGACCUGCGGUGUAUUAGCUAGUUGGUGAGGUAACGGCUCACCAAGGCAACGAUACAUAGCCGACCUGAGAGGGUGAUCGGCCACACUGGGACUGAGACACGGCCCAGACUCCUACGGGAGGCAGCAGUAGGGAAUCUUCCGCAAUGGACGAAAGUCUGACGGAGCAACGCCGCGUGAGUGAAGAAGGUUUUCGGAUCGUAAAACUCUGUUGUAAGGGAAGAACAAGUACGUUAGUAACUGAACGUACCUUGACGGUACCUUACCAGAAAGCCACGGCUAACUACGUGCCAGCAGCCGCCGUAAUAC
rnacentral:rRNA from 1 species